GGAGGAUUGAGGAGAGUUCCCGGAAAAACGGGAAUUCCCGAAAUUCCGUGACGCCGCCCGAAAUUUGCAGGGGGGGGGAAAUUCUUCUCAAUAAAAAUUUAAACUC